rnacentral:rRNA from 1 species
UACGGGGGUAGCAAGCGUUGUUCGGAUUUACUGGGCGUAAAGGGCGCGUAGGCGGUAGCACAAGUCAGUUGUGAAAUCUCCGGGCUUAACUCGGAAAGGUCAACUGAUACUGUGCGACUAGAGUGCAGAAGGGGCAACUGGAAUUCUCGGUGUAGCGGUGAAAUGCGUAGAUAUCGAGAGGAACACCUGCGGCGAAGGCGGGUUGCUGGGCUGACACUGACGCUGAGGCGCGAAAGCCAGGGGAGCGAACGGG